rnacentral:rRNA from 1 species
UACGGAGGUUGCAAGCGUUGUCCGGAAUUAUUGGGCGUAAAGAGCUCGUAGGCGGCUUGUCGCGUCGGCUGUGAAAACCUGGGGCUCAACCCCGGGCCUGCCGCCGAUACUGGCAAGCUAGAAUUCGGUAGGGGAGACUGGAAUUCCUGGUGUAGCGGUGAAAUGCGCAGAUAUCAGGAGGAACACCGGUGGCGAAGGCGGGUCUCUGGGCAGUAACUGACGCUGAGGAGCGAAAGCGUGGGGAGCGAACAGG